rnacentral:rRNA from 1 species
CGAAGGGUGCUAGCGUUGUUCGGAAUCACUGGGCGUAAAGCGCGCGUAGGCGGCGUCUCAAGUCAGGGGUGAAAUCCCACGGCUCAACCGUGGAACUGCCUUUGAAACUGUGACGCUGGAGUGUCGGAGGGGAUAGCGGAAUUGCUAAUGUAGAGGUGAAAUUCGUAGAUAUUAGCAGGAACACCGGUGGCGAAGGCGGCUAUCUGGACGACAACUGACGCUGAGGCGCGAAAGCGUGGGGAUCAAACAGGAUUAGAUACCCUGGUAGUCCACGCUGUAAACGAUGGAUGCUAGCCGUUCGGGGGUUCCCCCUGAGUGGCGCAGCUAACGCGUUAAGCAUCCCGCCUGGGGAGUACGGUCGCAAGAUUA